rnacentral:rRNA from 1 species
UACAGAGGGGGCAAGCGUUGUUCGGAAUUACUGGGCGUAAAGGGCGCGUAGGCGGCCUGCUAAGUCGAGUGUGAAAUCCCCGAGCUUAACUUGGGAAUUGCGCUCGAAACUACGUGGCUCGAGUGUGGCAGAGGAAGGUGGAAUUCCACGUGUAGCGGUGAAAUGCGUAGAGAUGUGGAGGAACACCGAUGGCGAAGGCAGCCUUCUGGGCCAACACUGACGCUCAUGCACGAAAGCGUGGGGAGCAAACAGG